rnacentral:rRNA from 1 species
GACGGAAGGUGCAAGCGUUGCUCGGAAUCACUGGGCGUAAAGGGUGCGUAGGCGGCCGCGCAAGUCUGGCGUGAAAGCCCCGGGCUCAGCCCGGGAAGGGCGCUCGAAACGGCGCGGCUCGAGUGCCGGAGGGGAGAGUGGAAUUCCUGGUGUAGCGGUGAAAUGCGUAGAUAUCAGGAGGAAUACCGGUGGCGAAGGCGGCAUCCUGGACCGACACUGACACUGAGGAGCGAAAGCCAGGGGAGCAAACAGG